rnacentral:rRNA from 1 species
UACGUAGGGUGCGAGCGUUGUCCGGAAUUAUUGGGCGUAAAGAGCUCGUAGGUGGUUUGUCGCGUUGUUCGUGAAAACUCACAGCUCAACUGUGGGCGUGCGGGCGAUACGGGCAGACUGGAGUACUGCAGGGGAGACUGGAAUUCCUGGUGUAGCGGUGGAAUGCGCAGAUAUCAGGAGGAACACCGGUGGCGAAGGCGGGUCUCUGGGCCGAUAUUGACGCUGAGGAGCGAAAGCGUGGGGAGCGAACAGG